GUUUUAUUUCUCUCAGGGACAAUUAUGGAUUAAGACUCAUAUUUCGAUUGGAAUGAUACAGAAAAGAUUUGCAUGCCCCCUGUGCAAAGAUACAUGCACACUCGUGAAGCAUUCCAUAUUUUU
ensembl:snRNA U6 U6 spliceosomal RNA